GCUUAGCCCUAAACCCAGAUGUGUCCACACACGCAUAUCCGCCCGGGUACUACGAGCACAGCUUGAAACCCAAAGGACUUGGCGGUGUCUCAGACCCACCUAGAGGAGCCUGUUCUAGAACCGAUAACCCCCGUUAAACCUCACCACUUCUUGUUUUACCCGCCUAUAUACCGCCGUCGUCAGCUUACCCUGUGAAGGCCUAGUAGUAAGCAAAAUGGGCCAGCCCAAAAACGUCAGGUCGAGGUGUAGCGUACGAAGUGGGAAGAAAUGGGCUACAUUUUCUAAAUACAGAAUAUUACGAAUAGCACUCUGAAAAUAAUGCUUAAAGGUGGAUUUAGCAGUAAAAAGCAAAUAGAGAGUCCUUUUGAAUCAGGCUCUGAGACGCGC
rnacentral:rRNA from 1 species